GAUGAAGACGUAGCGAAAUGCGAUAAGUAAUGUGAAUUGCAGAAUUCAGUGAAUCAUCGAAUCUUUGAACGCACAUUGCGCCCCUUGGUAUUCCGGGGGGCAUGCCUGUUCGAGCGUCAUUUCAACCCUCAAGCUCAGCUUGGUAUUGAGUCCAUGUCAGUAAUGGCAGGCUCUAAAAUCAGUGGCGGCGCCGCUGGGUCCUGAACGUAGUAAUAUCUCUCGUUACAGGUUCUCGGUGUGCUUCUGCCAAAACCCAAAUUUUCUAUGGUUGACCUCGGAUCAGGUAGGGAUACCCGCUGAACUUAAGCAUAUCAAUAAGCGGAGGA
rnacentral:misc_RNA from 1 species